rnacentral:rRNA from 1 species
GAAGAAAGAGGGAGGAGUGAUUAACACAUGCAAGUCGAACGGAAAGGCCCUGCUUUUGUGGGGUGCUCGAGUGGCGACCGGGUGAGUAACACGUGAGUAACCUGCCCUUGACUUUGGGAUAACUUCAGGAAACUGGGUCUAAUACCGGCUAGGAGCUCCUGCUUCAUGGUGGGGGUUGGAAAGUUUCGGCGGUUGGGGAUGGACUCGCGGCUUAUCAGCUUGUUGGUGGGGUAGUGGCUUACCAAGGCUUUGAAGGGUAGCCGGCCUGAGAGGGUGACCGGCCACAUUGGAACUGAGAUACGGCCCAGACUCCUACGGGAGGCAGCAGUGGGGAAUAUUGCACAAUGGGGGGAAGCCUGAUGCAGCAACGCAGCGUGCGGGAUGACGGCAUUCGGGUUGUAAACCGCUUUCGCCUGUGACGAAGCGUGAGUGACGGUAAUGGGUAAAGAAGCACCGGCUAACUACGUG